rnacentral:rRNA from 1 species
CCUACGGGUGGCAGCAGUGGGGAAUAUUGCACAAUGGGGGAAACCCUGAUGCAGCGACGCCGCGUGAAGGAAGAAGUAUUUCGGUAUGUAAACUUCUAUCAGCAGGGAAGAAAAUGACGGUACCUGACUAAGAAGCCCCGGCUAACUACGUGCCAGCAGCCGCGGUAAUACGUAGGGGGCAAGCGUUAUCCGGAUUUACUGGGUGUAAAGGGAGCGUAGGCGGUGCAGCAAGUCAGAAGUGAAAGCCCGGGGCUCAACUCCGGGACUGCUUUUGAAACUGUUGAACUAGAGUGCAGGAGAGGUAAGUGGAAUUCCUGGUGUAGCGGUGAAAUGCGUAGAUAGUAGGAGGAACACCAGUGGCGAAGGCGGCUUACUGGACUGUAAAUGACGCUGAGGCUCGAAAGCGUGGGGAGCAAACAGGAUUAGAUACCCGUGUAGUC